UACGUAGGGUGCAAGCGUUGUCCGGAAUUAUUGGGCGUAAAGAGCUCGUAGGCGGUUUGUCGCGUCUGCUGUGAAAACCCGAGGCUCAACCUCGGGCCUGCAGUGGGUACGGGCAAACUAGAGUGCGGCAGGGGAGACUGGAAUUCCUGGUGUAGCGGUGAAAUGCGCAGAUAUCAGGAGGAACACCGGUGGCGAAGGCGGUUCUCUGGGCCUGUACUGACGCUGAGGAACGAAAGCGUGGGGAGCGAACAGG
rnacentral:rRNA from 1 species